rnacentral:rRNA from 1 species
UGGGGAAUUUUGGACAAUGGGGGAAACCCUGAUCCAGCCAUUCCGCGUGAGUGAAGAAGGCCUUCGGGUUGUAAAGCUCUUUUGUCCGGAACGAAACGGUUACGGCUAAUACCUGUGACUACUGACGGUACCGGAAGAAUAAGCACCGGCUAACUACGUGCCAGCAGCCGCGGUAAUACGUAGGGUGCGAGCGUUAAUCGGAAUUACUGGGCGUAAAGCGUGCGCAGGCGGUUAUGCAAGACAGAUGUGAAAUCCCCGGGCUCAACCUGGGAACUGCAUUUGUGACUGCAUAGCUGGAGUGCGGCAGAGGGGGAUGGAAUUCCGCGUGUAGCAGUGAAAUGCGUAGAUAUGCGGAGGAACACCGAUGGCGAAGGCAAUCCCCUGGGCCUGCACUGACGCUCAUGCACGAAAGCGUGGGGAGCAAAC